UGACAUUUGGGUAUUAUUUAGAUUUAUCCAUUUUUGUACUACUGUGCAUGUACAGGCUCCGUAUUUAUCAUAUGUAUAUGUGUACGCAGUUGUAUCGUAUGCUAUUUAUAUAUAUAUGUAAACCUGUUUAACAGGUCAGAGGUCAGAGUUAUUUUUAUAGUAGAGUGACCAUGGGUCAAUGCGCACCCGCGCUUUUUAGGGUAGCGUCACUCCCGUACUAGGCACCGUUGUGAGUGGACGUGUAUAUGUUGCGUCUAUAUAUUUAGCGCAUCCGUGUUGUACCAAUCUACAUCACUGUGAGUACUUCAUAAUUUCUAACUUUAAUGUAUAUUGUAUUGUAUGUAGUAAUAUUUGGAUAUGUUGAAUGUCAAUUAUUUCCUUUAUAAAUUAAUUGAAAUAAUUUACUUAUUGGUAAAGAUUGUCCAGAAAUUGAAUUUCCCGCCACUUUGUUAUUAAUUAUUCCGUGUGGAUAAACGUUUUGGUUUAGCUGAUAGGCGUUAUGCAUUUAGCCUUUUAUAUUAAACAUUGUAGUUAGUAUACGGUGCUAGUACAUGUUAGUAAAUAUUGUUUAUUUUAUUAUUGUAGCAUUUAUAUGCGCUGUAAUAUUGUACGGGUUGUCUCCCCGGGAGUCGAGCCCUCUUCGUCAAAUGAAGAGGGUGUUUUAUGGACUAAUAAAUUAUGAAUUGGAA